UACGUAGGGUGCGAGCGUUGUCCGGAAUUAUUGGGCGUAAAGAGCUUGUAGGCGGUUUGUCGCGUCUGCCGUGAAAAUCCGGGGCUCAACCCCGGACUUGCGGUGGGUACGGGCAGACUAGAGUGUGGUAGGGGAGACUGGAAUUCCUGGUGUAGCGGUGAAAUGCGCAGAUAUCAGGAGGAACACCGGUGGCGAAGGCGGGUCUCUGGGCCGGAACUGACGCUAAGGAGCGAAAGCGUGGGGAGCGAACAGG
rnacentral:rRNA from 1 species